UUGUUCCCACGACUAGCAGAGCAUCCUACGGGAGGCAGCAGUGGGAAUAUUGCACAAUGGGCGCAAGCCUGAUGCAGCCAUGCCGCGUGUAUGAAGAAGGUCCUUCGGGUUGUAAAGUACUUUCAGCAGUGAGGAAGGUGGAUAUGUUAAUAGCAUAUUCAUUUGACGUUAGCUGCAGAAGAAGCACCGGCUAACUCCGUGCCAGCAGCCGCGGUAAUACGGAGGGUGCGAGCGUUAAUCGGUAAUUACUGGGCGUAAAGCGCAUGCAGGUGGUUUGUUAAGUCAGAUGUGAAAGCCCGGGGCUCAACCUCGGAAUUGCUAUUUGAAACUGGACAAACUAGAGUACUGUAGAGGGGGUAGAAUUUCAGGUGUAGCGGUGAAAUGCGUAGAGAUCUGAAGGAAUACCGGUGGCGAAGGCGGCCCCCUGGACAGAUACUGACACUCAGAUGCGAAAGCGUGGGGAGCAAACAGGAUUAGAUACCCUGGUAG
rnacentral:rRNA from 1 species